rnacentral:lncRNA from 1 species
GGUGUGGGGCGGGGCCGCGAGUGGAGCGGGACGGGAAGCGGGAGCUGCAAAAGGGUGGCACUGGGACCAGUAUGGGGAUGGAGCUGGGACCAGUAUGCGGGUGGCGUGGGGGUGGGCAGCCUGGAGGACGGCCGGGUCAUCGACACGUCGCUGAGCCGCGACCCCCUGCAGGUGGAGCUGGGCAAGAGGCAGGUGAUCCCCGGGCUGGAGCAGAGCCUGCUGGACAUGUGUGUGGGCGAGAAGCGCAGAGCCAUCACCCGGCUGCUCCCAUGGCUGUGCCUGGCGCUGCUGCCGGCGCUGCUGGGUCUCAUCGGCUUCCAUCUGUACCGCAAAGCCAGCAGCCCCAAAGCGUCCAAAAAGAAGCAAAAGGAGGAGAAGAGGAACAAAGCCAAAAAGAAAUAAAGCUCCUCUCUGCGCCUGCGGCUGCGCUGCGUGCGGCUCCCGUGCUUCGUGGGUUUGGUGCCGCGCCGAGCUGCGGGCUCAGAGCAGAGAGCAGCGCCGGGCUGUGCGUGAGCAGCAAAACGACCUGCGGGCGUCGUGGGCGCAGCUGGGCUCCUUUAUGGCACCUCCCGGCUCUGACAUUCAGCCCCCAGCCCCGCGCUGUGACCCGCAGCCCCGUGUUGUUCCGGGGGGGUGCGGGGCUGCCGGGCGUCCCGGCUGCGCUGCAGGCAGCUUCUGGGGGUGCAGCUCUUGGUGCUGACAUCCAGCAGCGCGUUGGGUUUGCUCAUCGUGUCGGGGUUCACCGUCAGCCCGUCCAGGUAGCGCCGCAGCAGCGCCCGCAGCCGCCGGUUGCUGUGGGUCAGGGCUGCCCUCUGCUGCCCCACCGCCAGCUCCUCCAGCUUCACUUUGUUGAAGCGCCGCCAGAAGCGCUCCAGCCCCACGUAGUCCUGCACGGUCUGGGGGAGAGGCGCUGGUGAGCUCCCCGGGUUCCGUCCUCCCAUCCCUCAGCUGUACGGGGACCCGCGGGCUGUGCACACCGCAGAGGGGUGGCAGCAGGGAAGGGAGGUGAUCGUCCCCCUCUGCUCUGCUUCGUGAGGCCCCAUCUGCAGGAGGUGGGAGCCCCCAGCACCAGAAAGGCAGGGAGCUGCUGGAG